UACAGAGGUCCCAAGCGUUGUUCGGAUUCACUGGGCGUAAAGGGUGCGUAGGCGGUCGGGUAAGUCUGAUGUGAAAUCUCACAGCUUAACUGUGAAACUGCAUUGGAUACUAUUCGGCUUGAGAGUUGGAGGGGGGACUGGAAUUCUCGGUGUAGCAGUGAAAUGCGCAGAUAUCGGGAGGAACACCUAUGGCGAAGGCAGCUCGCUGGGACGUUACUGACGCUGAGACGCGAAAGCGUGGGGAGCAAACAGG
rnacentral:rRNA from 1 species